rnacentral:rRNA from 1 species
GAUUAGAGUUUGAUCAUGGCUCAGGAUGAACGCUAGCGGCAGGCUUAACACAUGCAAGUCGAGGGGUAACAGGAGUGCUUGCACUCGCUGACGACCGGCGCACGGGUGCGUAACGCGUAUAGAACUUACCUUUUACAGAGGGAUAGCCUUUAGAAAUGAAGAUUAAUACCUCAUAGUAUUGAGACUUGGCAUCGAGACUCACUUAAAGAUUUAUCGGUAAAAGAUGGCUAUGCGUCCUAUUAGUUAGUUGGUAAGGUAACGGCUUACCAAGGCAGCGAUAGGUAGGGGUCCUGAGAGGGAGAUCCCCCACACUGGUACUGAGACACGGACCAGACUCCUACGGGAGGCAGCAGUGAGGAAUAUUGGGCAAUGGAGGCAACUCUGACCCAGCCAUGCCGCGUGCAGGAAGACGGCCCUAUGGGUUGUAAACUGCUUUUAUACAGGAAGAAACACUGCUACGUGUAGCAGCUUGACGGUACUGUAAGAAUAAGGACCGGCUAACUCCGUGCCAGCAGCCGCGGUAAUACGGAGGGUCCGAGCGUUAUCCGGAAUCAUUGGGUUUAAAGGGUCCGCAGGCGGUCAAUUAAGUCAGAGGUGAAAUCCCAUAGCUCAACUAUGGAACUGCCUUUGAUACUGGUUGACUUGAGUCAUAUGGAAGUAGAUAGAAUGUGUAGUGUAGCGGUGAAAUGCAUAGAUAUUACACAGAAUACCGAUUGCGAAGGCAGUCUACUACGUAUGUACUGACGCUGAGGGACGAAAGCGUGGGGAGCGAACAGGAUUAGAUACCCUGGUAGUCCACGCCGUAAACGAUGGAUACUAGUUGUUGGGCAUUAGCUCAGUGACUAAGCGAAAGUGAUAAGUAUCCCACCUGGGGAGUACGGUCGCAAGACUGAAACUCAAAGGAAUUGACGGGGGCCCGCACAAGCGGUGGAGCAUGUGGUUUAAUUCGAUGAUACGCGAGGAACCUUACCAGGGCUUAAAUGUAGUCUGACAGCUUUAGAGAUAGAGUUUUCUUCGGACAGAUUACAAGGUGCUGCAUGGUUGUCGUCAGCUCGUGCCGUGAGGUGUCAGGUUAAGUCCUAUAACGAGCGCAACCCCUGUCAUUAGUUGCCAGCAUGUAAAGAUGGG